AUCGCAGAAUGAACAGUACCUAAUGAAUUAAAAUGAGAGCGGGGGAAGACAGAAGACUUACCUGUUUUGCAGAGAAUUUGCGCAAGACUGCAGAUGCUGGGCGAGGUUCCUGUAUUCAAGCUCUCGCCUGGAUCUUCCUUCUCUGCCCCAACCUACGUCUCUCCUCCUGAUAAGCAUGGCUUGGGGAGUUAGUUUCCUGCUAAGACUCCGACGCCAACAGUAUGCCUGGACUGUUGGUGGUAGACUUUGGCCCGGAUUCCAGUAGCGUGUCCGGGAGGAAGUCUGCUUGGAUUGAGGACCUUGGUAGGCUAAAUUUGGCUUGUGAGGGGCUGCCCAUCUGGGCAGCUUUUUGUUUUUUUCUUCACCGGUGGCUUCCUCUGUUCCCAGAGGAAGACGACGAUGGAUGGGCGUGAAACGACACCGUUUCAGGGCGAAGGUAGCUGUUUUUCAAUUUGGUCCUCGAUGUUUUAACAUUUUUCAAUCGGACCCCUGGACCAAAUUGUAAUUAAACCCUGCAUUGCAGCGUCUUUUACACAACGGUCCUUGGACUUUAAUUUCUUGCAAUUUGGAGCUAAAUCAGCCCUGAAUUCUUAAUAUUUCUUCAAUUAAGCCCCUGAUUUCAUUAAUUAAACUAAUUCUAAGCACAAUUAAGUCCCCAAACUUAUGAAUUCUUUCUUUUUCUACCACACUUGGCUCCCAAACUUACAAUCCAUUAUGAUUAAAUUCUCAUGAUUUUCGAUUUGUGUUGUCUUGGCCCAAAACUCAAUUUUUCUUCAUUCAUUUUAUUUUUGUGAAUUUAUGUUGUAAAAAAUUGAGUUAUGACAAUCCGUAAUGAGUUGUUCAUAUUUUUCAUUUGA